rnacentral:rRNA from 1 species
CUUAGAGUUUGAUCCUGGCUCAGAUUGAACGCUGGCGGCAUGCCUUACACAUGCAAGUCGAACGGCAGCACGGGAGCAAUCCUGGUGGCGAGUGGCGAACGGGUGAGUAACAUAUCGGAACGUGCCCAGUCGUGGGGGAUAACGUAGAGAAAUUUACGCUAAUACCGCAUGAGAUCUACGGAUGAAAGCGGGGGACUUCGCAAGAAGCCUCGCGCGACUGGAGCGGCUGAUAUCAGAUUAGGUUGUUGGUGAGGUAAAAGCUCACCAAGCCAACGAUCUGUAGCUGGUUUGAGAGAACGACCAGCCACACUGGGACUGAGACACGGCCCAGACUCCUACGGGAGGCAGCAGUGGGGAAUUUUGGACAAUGGGGGAAACCCUGAUCCAGCAAUGCCGCGUGCAGGAAGAAGGCCUUCGGGUUGUAAACUGCUUUUGUACGGAACGAAAAGGUUUGCCCUAAUACGGUGAGCCCAUGACGGUACCGUAAGAAUAAGCACCGGCUAACUACGUGCCAGCAGCCGCGGUAAUACGUAGGGUGCGAGCGUUAAUCGGAAUUACUGGGCGUAAAGCGUGCGCAGGCGGUGAUGUAAGACAGUUGUGAAAUCCCCGGGCUCAACCUGGGAAUUGCAUCUGUGACUGCAUCGCUAGAGUACGGUAGAGGGGGAUGGAAUUCCGCGUGUAGCAGUGAAAUGCGUAGAUAUGCGGAGGAACACCGAUGGCGAAGGCAAUCCCCUGGACCUGUACUGACGCUCAUGCACGAAAGCGUGGGGAGCAAACAGGAUUAGAUACCC